rnacentral:rRNA from 1 species
AGGAGGUUGGCUUAGAAGCAGCCAUCCUUGAAAGAGUGCGUAAUAGCUCACUGGUUUAGUGAUUGCGCGCCGAUAAUUUAGCGGGGCUUAAGCAUACCGCCGAUACCGUGGCUUCCAUACGUGUGCUGGCUGCUCUUUGUUGGGUGGUUGGUGUGUGGUUGGGUAGGGGAGCGUCCUGCAUGAGGUGAAGUUUCGGAGUGAUCCGGGGUGGAUUGUGUGGGAGUGAGAAUGCAGGCAUGAGUAGCGAUUGAGAAGUGAGAAUCUUUUCCGUCUUAUAACUAAGGGUUCCAGGGGUAGGUUCGUCCGCUCUGGGUUAGUCGGGUCCUAAGGCGAGGCCGUCAGGCGUAGUCGAUGGUUAACCAGUUUUUAUUCUGGUACCGGCAUAUUCUCGUUCAGUGGUGAGGCGCAUAGUACUAACCAAUAUUUACUGCUGGUUUUCCCUUUCGGGGGUUUGCUGGUGGUGGUCUUGGGACCGAUGUGUGUAGUAGUCAAGCGUGUUAACAGGGGUGACGCAGUUAGAUAGCUCAGCGUCGUGAUGGUUUACGGCGUUCAAGCAUGUGGCCUAUCGGGUUGGUAAAUCCGCUCGUGUUUGGGUGAGGUGUGAUGGUGACCUGUUUUUGUGGGGAUAUUGGGUGAUUCUGUGCUGUCUAGAAAAGCCUCGGCGUUAGAGGGUGUGUUGCCCGUACCCUAAACCGACACAGGUGGUUUGGUAGAGAAUACUAAGACGUGCGAGUGAAUCAUGGUUAAGGAACUCGGCAAAAUGCCUCCGUAACUUUGGGAGAAGGAGGACCCGGCCUUUUACAUUACCUUUGCGGUUUUGGUGGGGGUUGGGGCGCAGAGACCAGGGGGAAGCGACUGUUUAUCAAAAACAUAGGUGUGUGCGAAGCCGUAAGGCGAUGUAUACGCACUGACGCCUGCCCGGUGCUGGAAGGUUAAGAGGAACCCUUAAUCGGCUUUUGUUGGUGAAGGGGUGAAUUUAAGCCCCAGUAAACGGCGGUGGUAACUAUAACCAUCCUAAGGUAGCGAAAUUCCUUGUCGGGUAAGUUCCGACCUGCACGAAUGGCGUAACGACUUCCCUGCUGUCUCGACCGUGAGCUCGGUGAAAUUGCAUUAUGAGUAAAGAUGCUCGUUUAGCGCAGCAGGACGGAAAGACCCCGGGACCUUUACUAUAGCUUGGUAUUGGUGGUUGAUUAUGCUUGUGUAGAAUAGGUGGGAGACUGUGAGACCGCGCCGCUAGGUGUGGUGGAGUUGUAAUGUGAAAUACCACUCUGGUGUGAUUGGCUGUCUUAACCUUGGCCCGUGAUCCGGGUUGGGGACAGUGCCUGGUGGGUAGUUUAACUGGGGCGGUUGCCUCCUAAAAGGUAACGGAGGCGCUCAAUGGUUCCCUCAUCCUGGUUGGUAAUCAGGUGUUGAGUGUAAGUGCACAAGGGAGCUUGACUGUGACACUGACGGGUGGAGCAGGUACGAAAGUAGGAACUAGUGAUCCGGCAAUGGCUUGUGGAAGCGUUGUCGCUCAACGGAUAAAAGGUACCCCGGGGAUAACAGGCUGAUCUUGCCCAAGAGUCCAUAUCGACGGCAUGGUUUGGCACCUCGAUGUCGGCUCGUCGCAUCCUGGGGCUGGAGUUGGUCCCAAGGGUUGGGCUGUUCGCCCAUUAAAGCGGUACGCGAGCUGGGUUCAGAACGUCGUGAGACAGUUCGGUCCCUAUCCGCUGCGUUCGUUGGAGAUUUGAGAGGGCCUGUCCCUAGUACGAGAGGACCGGGACGGACGAACCUCUGGUGUGCCAGUUGUACCGCCAGGUGCAUGGCUGGUUUGCUACGUUCGGGAGGGAUAACCGCUGAAAGCAUCUAAGCGGGAAGCCUGCCUCGAGAUAAGAUCUCCGUGCACUGUUUGUGUGUGAGGGUCCCAGUAGAAGACUGGGUUGAUAGGCCAGGAAUGUAAGGCUCGUGAGGGUUUGAGUUGACUGGUACUAAUAUCCCGAUGACUAACAUUA